UUUGCUUCCUUGUCUGCGACUGCUUUUCAGUAUUCGCCGCGUAUAUAUGCUUUCUUGUCUGCAAAAGAGAUCAAAGGGCUUUAAAUGUCUGCGAAGGAAGAUUGCCGUCACCACACACUACCACCGUUGAUCAAAGCCAUCGCUGCAAAUGAAGUGGACGGUUUUGAUGAACCCAAACCAUCAGUUUUCAUGAUCGAAGCAGCAAACAUGAAUACUGGAGAUCGUUCGAUCUCCAUCAGUAU